AUGAGCAGUGAAAUGGGUUACACUUUUUUUUUUUUUUUUUUUUUUUCAGGCCUGUUGCAAGCCAAGUACAAAGCAAACAAGAAGGGAAAUGUUGAACAUAAAAUCUGGAAGUUGCUUUUGUCCAGAAAUGUUGAUAUAAUCAGACUGAGAGGGACAGCUGGAAGCCCUGAAGAACAGUCCGGGUUACAGUCUGGCUGGAGAUCCAGGCCUUCAGGUGCGAGCAGAAAGGAAACAAGUCCACCAUCAGGACUCACCAAGAGAUCAGCCACAGAGCAGCUGCAGAGGAAAACGUGGGCUGCAGGAGAGAAGACUUGGGAAGAGGAAGCUGGUCUCCAUGUCUGUAAAUGGAUUGUCAGUGCUACCCCUGUAAUUAAUUUAAGUCCUCACAAGAAGGAGAGGUAUUUUGCUAUUUAUGUUUGUUUCUCUUUUCCACUAAGAAGGGAUGAUGUAGGUUACCACCACUCUUUCAGUCUAAAUGUCACUUCACAGCCUGAAAUAAUACGUCUCUUUUGUUACUGCCUUGUGGGAUCCAAUGACUUCAGGGAUACCUGUGGCUCAUCCUGCACCAUCCACCCCUCUUAAUUUCAAAACUGGAGACAGCUUUAGCAAGUAAGAGAAAAGUAAGUAAGAAAGGUUCACCUUCUCUGUAAAUCAAAUGCUUCAGGCAAAAGCACAUUUUAUCAGACUUGUUUUUCAAAUCCGUAGUAACUGCUUGCAUAUCAUAUUGGUUUACUGUUGGCUGAAUAUCAUAUAGCAGAAUUGUUUUAGAGGGGUAUUUUAAUUUAUUUUGUUUUAUAUUUUAUUAUCUUCAGUUGGAAUGGAGCAUGGCUGGAAUCUGAUGUCCAUACAGAUACUGAAAGAAGCUCCCAUUUAAAUAUUUGGUGACCAGCUGCCUGCAUUGUGAGGCCAGAAGCCCAUUUUGCUGGGCUACACAAGCAACAGAGCAGCCAGAUGUCUGUCUGAGAGGCCAGCCAGAGGCAGAGGACCACAUGGAGGGGCAGGGGUGAUGGGGGCAAUCAGGAGGGAGAGGCAGGGCAGUUAAGGGUCUUUUAGGUGUAAACAAAUCCACUUGGAUCAGGGAUUCAGAAGGUAGUGUGACAAAUUUAAAGAGCGGAGAAGAUGAGCUUGGCGGUUGUCUUAGCUAUGUUGGCUUAGGAAAAAACUGGGCAGCAGAGCACAGGUACCAGGGAGCUAUAGCAUUCUCUUUUCUUUCAGUACAUGCCUGUUCACUUUAAAACCCAGCUCCCUUUUGUAAUACAUUGUAUUAAAGCUCAAGACUAAAAUAAAUGUUAUUAUUUUGCGUGUUUGUUUUUUUUU
rnacentral:lncRNA from 1 species